rnacentral:rRNA from 1 species
GAUGGACGCUGGCGGCGUGCCUAAUACAUGCAAGUCGAGCGAACGGACGAGAAGCUUGCUUCUCUGAUGUUAGCGGCGGACGGGUGAGUAACACGUGGAUAACCUACCUAUAAGACUGGGAUAACUUCGGGAAACCGGAGCUAAUACCGGAUAAUAUUUUGAACCGCAUGGUUCAAAAGUAAAAGACGGUCUUGCUGUCACUUAUAGAUGGAUCCGCGCUGCAUUAGCUAGUUGGUAAGGUAACGGCUUACCAAUGCAACGAUGCAUAGCCGACCCGAGAGGGUGAUCGGCCACACUGGAACUGAGACACGGUCCAGACUCCUACGGGAGGCAGCAGUAGGGAAUCUUCCGCAAUGGGCGAAAGCCUGACGGAGCAACGCCGCGUGAGUGAUGAAGGUCUUCGGAUCGUAAAACUCUGUUAUUAGGGAAGAACAUAUGUGUAAGUAACUGUGCACAUCUUGACGGUACCUAAUCAGAAAGCCACGGCUAACUACGUG